GAUGAACGCUGGCGGCGUGCCUAAUACAUGCAAGUCGAGCGAACAGACGAGGAGCUUGCUCCUCUGACGUUAGCGGCGGACGGGUGAGUAACACGUGGAUAACCUACCUAUAAGACUGGGAUAACUUCGGGAAACCGGAGCUAAUACCGGAUAAUAUAUUGAACCGCAUGGUUCAAUAGUGAAAGACGGUUUUGCUGUCUCUUAUAGAUGGAUCCGCGCCGCAUUAGCUAGUUGGUAAGGUAACGGCUUACCAAGGCGACGAUGCGUAGCCGACCUGAGAGGGUGAUCGGCCACACUGGAACGGAGACACGGUCCAGACUACUACGGGAGGAAGCAGUAGGGAAUAUUCCGCAAUGGGCGAAAGCCUGACGGAGCAACGCCGCGUGAGUGAUGAAGGUCUUCGGAUCGUAAAACUCUGUUAUUAGGGAAGAACAAAUGUGUAAGUAACUAUGCACGUCUUGACGGUACCUAAUCAGAAAGCCACGGCUAACUACGUG
rnacentral:rRNA from 1 species